CGGUGGGGACUAACGUGUGAUGGGGGACGGUGGGGACUAACGUGUGAUGGGGGACGGUGGGGACUAACGUGUGAUGGGGUCGGUGGGGACUAACGUGUGAUGGGGGACUAACGUGUGAUGGGGGACUAACGUGUGUUGGGGGACGGUGGGGACUAACGUGUGUUGGGGGACGGUUGGGACUAACGUUUAAUUCCUAGACUAUACGUUGUAAUCUUUCAUUCCUAGGUUGUAGCAACCUCAUGAUGGGUACAGGGGAACAUUCUAGUAUCAUGUAGUAACCUAAACCUGUCGCUGUUACAUUGAACUGGGUGAAUGAGAAUCAUCCAAUAUGUUGUAAUAGAAAUAAUGCGCGUUUUCCUUUUAUAGUCAUUUCAACAAAACAAAAAAAUCUAUAUGCGAGCAUCAAGACAGAUGUAGCUUUACACUGUCCCAUCUGCCUUUAAUAUCGGAGAUGGGAUUCCCCGUUGAGAAGAAAAACACAAUUUCCUUAACGGUUUCCUAAGAGAUUGAGCUUAAAGGGAUACUUCUGGAUUUCGGCAAUGACGCCCUUUAUCUACUGACCCAGAGUCAGAUGAGGCCCUUUAUCUACUGACCCAGAGUUAGAUGAGGUCCUUUAUCUACUGACCCAGAGUCAGAUGAGGUCCUUUAUCUACUGACCCAGAGUCAGAUGAGGUCCUUUAUCUACUGACCCAGAGUCAGAUGAGGCCCUUUAUCUACUGACCCAGAGUCAGAUGAGGCCCUUUAUCUACUGACCCAGAGUCAGAUGAGGCCCUUUAUCUACUGACCCAGAGUCAGAUGGUCUCCUUUAUCUACUGACCCAGAGUCAGAUGAGGCCCUUUAUCUACUGACCCAGAGUCAGAUGAGGCCCUUUAUCUACUGACCCAGAGUCAGAUGAGGCCCUUUAUCUACUGACCCAGAGUCAGAUGAGGCCCUUUAUCUACUGACCCAGAGUCAGAUGAGGCCCUUUAUCUACUGACCCAGAGUCAGAUGAGGUCCUUUAUCUACUGACCCAGAGUCAGAUGAGGUCCUUUAUCUACUGACCCAGAGUCAGAUGAGGCCCUUUAUCUACUGACCCAGAGUCAGAUGAGGCCCUUUAUCUACUGACCCAGAGUCAGAUGAAGCCCUUUAUCUACUGACCCAGAGUCAGAUGAGGUCCUUUAUCUACUGACCCAGAGUCAGAUGAGGUCCUUUAUCUACUGACCCAGAGUCAGAUGAGGUCCUUUAUCUACUGACCCAGAGUCAGAUGAGGCCCUUUAUCUACUGACCCAGAGUCAGAUGAGGUCCUUUAUCUACUGACCCAGAGUCAGAUGAGGUCCUUUAUCUACUGACCCAGAGUCAGAUGAGGUCCUUUAUCUACUGACCCAGAGUCAGAUGAGGUCCUUUAUCUACUGACCCAGAGUCAGAUGAGGUCCUUUAUCUACUGACCCAGAGUCAGAUGAGGCCCUUUAUCUACUGACCCAGAGUCAGAUGAGGUCCUUUAUCUACUGACCCAGAGUCAGAUGAGGUCCUUUAUCUACUGACCCAGAGUCAGAUGAGGCCCUUUAUCUACUGACCCAGAGUCAGAUGAGGUCCUUUAUCUACUGACCCAGAGUCAGAUGAACUCUCUGAGACCAUUUUUAUUUCUCUGCGUGCAGUUUGAUGGAAGUUGCUAACUAGCGUUAACACAAUACCUGGAAGUCUAUGGUAACUGCUAGCAUACUUGUAGAUAUCAUAGACCUCCAGUCAUUGCGCUAAUGCUAGUUAGCAUUGGCUCGUUAAACUACCUCAAACUUCCUUCAUACUAGAUGCAGAAAAAAAUAAAACAUUGUUAUUCUGACUACUUCUACUGGGGAAGUAGAUAAAUGGCUUCACUGCCAAAAUCCUGAAGUAUCCCUUUAGCAAGACAGAUGGACAAAAUGGGUGCUGCCUCAAAUUAACUUCAGUUAUGUCUUCUCUCUCAGCAGUCUGGUAGCAGCUAGUAGACAGAUCUCCAUUGUCCCUGGGGUGCCAGGCCAUCUGACCUAAAGCUGGCUCUUAGCAGGGCCUGGAGGUAGACAGAGACAGAAGGCAGAGAGAGAAGAGAAGAGCAGAGCCCCAGGAUCACUCCCUGAUCACAUUACUUCCUCUGGCUAGCUACUCUGGUUCCUUUCAACCUAUGCCUG